rnacentral:lncRNA from 1 species
UCCAGCUCACCAGUUUGGUGUCUCUCGAUCUAUCUUUUUAUGUUUCUCUUUAUCCCCCUCCUUCAAGUUUGUUGUUGUCCAUUGAAAACCCACCAUUGUUUCUCCGUCUGCUUGCUCAAAACCUGAAGAACCUUAGAGCCUUGGAUAUGAGCUACGUAAACAUAUCUUCAGAAAUCCCCCACGAGUUUUCAUACAUGCUCUCUCUAAGAUCUCUACAUCUUGAGCGAUGCUCUCUGGUUGGAGAGUUUCCAAGCAGUGUUUUCCUGAUACCAAACUUACAGUCCAUUAUAUUGGAUGGCAAUCCAGACCUGAGAGGCAGCCUUCCUGUUUUUCGUAGAAACAACUCUCUGCAAGUCUUAAGCCUUCUGGAAACAUCGUUUUCAGGUAUCAUACCUGAUUCCAUCGCCAACCUUAAGCAUUUAGCUUCUUUGACCCUCGCAUAUUCCAAUUUCUCUGGGAGGAUUCCAUCUUCACUUGGUGAACUUUCUAAUCUCUCACGUCUCAGUCUUUCUUUAAAUCAUUUCACUGGUGAAGUCCCAUCUUCAAUUGGCAAUCUAAAACAGUUGAUCAGCUUUGACGUUGGCUAUAAUCAGCUCACCGGGAACUUUCCAUCUGCACUACUCAAUUUGACCAAACUACGUUUUAUCAAUCUCGGUUCCAACCAGUUCACAGGUUUCCUCCCACCUAACAUUGGCCAACUCUCCAAACCUAACGUGUUUUGUAGUCGAUGGUAGUAUGUGAGGGAAAUGAAUAUUUCGUUAACGUAACAGUUAUAAUAGGUUGUGCUUUGGUUUUGGUUCAUGUAAUGUAUUUUGUUUGGGUAGGGUGGUUUAGCAAUCGGUUUUAGUGGUUAUGUAUAAAUAAUAAUGAAUACAAUUCGCAUGGUUAGAAUUUGCAUGGUUAGAGUAAUAAUGGGGGGUCUAUAGGGUAAAAAAAGUUGUCAAUUAUUGUUAUAAUAUACAAGGUAAGUCCAAAAAAAUUUAAAAGUAAUAAGUUCAAACAACUUUUAUAGGUAGAUUUUUUCAAAAUCCUUCCCUUUUAAUAGUAUUGAUUACAUCGAAAAAUCUAAUGUUCAAAAAAAUUCCAAGUAUGUAUAGAACUGUGGCUUGUAGACGAAUGAUCACAUGGUUAAAACUUCAAACCAAUUCUAGCCUGUGAUUCCCUGUAUCUGAGUGAUGAGAUGUGGUUACGCACUGAUUUGUCAAUGACUCGAGUUGUUACAACGACCGAAAGCCAAGCUCCAUCACGCCGGUUGUUCUUUCUUUCCACAAGAAAUAAAUUGUUUUCUGAAACACAAUCCGAAGAAGCAAACUGUAACUAGUCAAAAAAUAAAUUUCAUCAAAGCAUAUUAUUGUCCUUUUAAUUUCUUUUUUUUUACCAAUACUACUAGGGUAGGUUACAGCAAAAAGGAAUAUAUGCUCUAUCUCUUCUCUUUGUGUAUAGUCAUUGUUAGUCUUGCAAUGUUAAGUACAAUGCAAAGUCAAGUGUGUUUUUUUUUUGAGAAAAGUCAAGUAUGUUUUUAUGCGUACAAAGCUAUCAAAAUUGGCACCUAUUGACAAUUCAAACAAUUCAAAGUGGAUUUUUUUUUUGACAAUUCUUAAGUGGAAAAGUUCUUUUCACAAACAAUCAACUACAAUUCCGUAGUUGGUACGCCAAAUAUGUUACAAAAUUUAGCUGUAAAUAUAAUCAAUUCAUGUUGAAAAAUAAAAAUAAAACAAAUUUAUUUUAAAAUAUUUAUUUUAUAGUUUUUGUAAAUAAAAUACGACAAAAAAAAUUUGAUUUACAGAUGAUGAAAAAAUGAUUUUUCACUUUUUGGUGUGAAAAUGCUAUCUUGCUGUUUUGAAAAUGUGAUUUUGCAUUUGUGAUGAAAUAUGAUUUAGCAAUUUUAAGAAAAAUGUAACUUAAUUUUUUUUUAGAAAAAUGUGAUUUCUUGCCUUUAACGAAAAUACAAUUUUGCGGGUUUAACAAAAAUGUGAUUUGCGGAUUUAGUAAAAAACUAUAAAUUUUACGGGUUUGAUGAAAAAUAUGGUUUUGUAACUUUGAUGAAAAAUGAGAUUUUGUGGUUUUAGUAAAAAAAAUUAGUUUCAGAAAAAAAUGGAUUUUGUGGUUUAUCGAAAAUAUGUGUGGCUUUGGAAAAAUUAUGUUACGGUUUUAAAUAAUUUUUUAAUUUACGGAUUUUGAAAAAGAAAAUGUGAUUUUAUUGAUUCGAAGAGAAACAAUUGUUAUAUUGUUGCAUUUAGAUGAAACUAUUCUUUUGUGGUUUUAGCAAAAUUAUGUUUUUGGGUUUUAGUUAAAAAUAAUCAUUUAGCAAAUUUAAUUAAAAUGUGAUAGGUUUUGAUUUAAGAAAAUGUGAUUUUAUGACUUUGGUGUUAAAAUAUGAUUUGACAGAAAAUUGCAGGAUAAUUACAAAGUUUCAUUGAACUUGUCACAUGUGUUUAUUUGCUCAUUUACUACAAAAUCGUACAUUUAGAUAAAGGAUUUUCGACAUUUUCUAAUUUUCACUGGAUUUUUUUUCUACACAAAUGGUCUAAUUUGAUUCAGUUAGCCGAUUUUGAAAAUUUUAGCUAAAUUUUUUAAAAAAACUUUACUCGAUGAUCUAUUCUCGAACCUUAUCUCAUUGUCACCAUUAAUGAACAGUAAUUUUCAUAUCCAUCCUAACGUGUAUCUGGGUGAACCAACGAAUGGUGUUGAAUAAUAAACAAACAAACGGCCAUAAAUGUAUGAAAUGAAUGAUUAUUUGUUGAGAGAAAGAUACAGAGCAUUCUUAUAUAGAGAGACAUUCAUUAAGCUGUUGGCAGGAAAAAGCUAUGAUAGGCUCAAACUAUUCAUUCUUUCUUCGUGCCAUUGUUCUUCUUCUCUUUUCCAUUUCAAACUUUGUCAGCACUUUUGCUUCUCUCACACCUGGCCUGUGUCAUCCGGAUCAGAGAGAUGUACUUCUCCAGCUCAAGACGGAGUUCAAGAUUCGGAAGCCUGAUGAUGAUGAAUUCUAUGAUCGUUAUGGUUUCCAACAGAACGUGACUUCUUACCCGAAGACGGAAUCAUGGGUAAACAGCAGCACCGACUGUUGUAACUGGGAUGGUGUAACGUGCAAUACCGAGUCAGGGAAGGUGAUCGGGCUAGACCUUAGUUGCAGCUUUCUUUAUGGUCGUCUCGAACCCAAUUCUAGUCUUUUUAGACUGAAACAUCUCACGAGUCUGAACCUUGCUUUCAACAACUUCACUUUCUCUCCAAUCCCAGAUAAGUUCAAUAAUCUCAUUUUGUUAGAAACACUAAACCUCUCUGGCUCUUCACUGAAAGGUCAUAUUCCAAAAGAAAUUCUCCAGCUCACCAGUUUGGUGUCUCUCGAUCUAUCUUUUUAUGUUUCUCUUUAUCCCCCUCCUUCAAGUUUGUUGUUGUCCAUUGAAAACCCACCAUUGUUUCUCCGUCUGCUUGCUCAAAACCUGAAGAACCUUAGAGCCUUGGAUAUGAGCUACGUAAACAUAUCUUCAGAAAUCCCCCACGAGUUUUCAUACAUGCUCUCUCUAAGAUCUCUACAUCUUGAGCGAUGCUCUCUGGUUGGAGAGUU